rnacentral:rRNA from 1 species
ACUGAAUAGAUACCCCGGUAGUCCCAGCCGUAAACGAUGCUCGCUAGGUGUCAGGCAUGGCGCGACCGUGUCUGGUGCCGCAGGGAAGCCGUGAAGCGAGCCACCUGGGAAGUACGGCCGCAAGGCUGAAACUUAAAGGAAUUGGCGGGGAGCACAACAACGGGUGGAGCCUGCGGUUUAAUUGGACUCAACGCCGGACAACUCACCGGGGGCGACAGCAAUAUGUAGGCCAGGCUGAAGACCUUGCCUGAAUCGCUGAGAGGAGGUGCAUGGCCGUCGCCAGUUCGUACUGUGAAGCAUCCUGUUAAGUCAGGCAACGAGCGAGACCCGUGCCCACUGUUACCAGCAUGUCCUCCGGGACGAUGGGUACUCUGUGGGGACCGCCGAUGUUAAAUCGGAGGAAGGUGCGGGCCACGGUAGGUCAGUAUGCCCCGAAUCUCCCGGGCUACACGCGGGCUACAAUGGAUGGGACAAUGGGUCCCUCCCCUGAAAAGGGCUGGUAAUCUCACAAACCCAUUCGUAGUUCGGAUCGAGGGCUGUAAC